UACGGGGGGGCAAGCGUUGUUCGGAAUUACUGGGCGUAAAGGGCUCGUAGGCGGCCAACUAAGUCAGACGUGAAAUCCCUCGGCUUAACCGGGGAACUGCGUCUGAUACUGGAUGGCUUGAAUUCGGGAGAGGGAUGCAGAAUUCCAGGUGUAGCGGUGAAAUGCGUAGAUAUCUGGAGGAAUACCGGUGGCGAAGGCGGCAUCCUGGACCGACAUUGACGCUGAGGAGCGAAAGCUGAGGGGAGCAAACGGGG
rnacentral:rRNA from 1 species